rnacentral:rRNA from 1 species
AAAAACUGAGGUGGUGUAAGAUGGGCCCGCGUCUGAUUAGGUAGUUGGUGGGGUAGAAGCCUACCAAGCCGACGAUCAGUAGCCGACCUGAGAGGGCGACCGGCCACAUUGGGACUGAGACACGGCCCAAACUCCUACGGGAGGCAGCAGUGGGGAAUAUUGCACAAUGGGGGAAACCCUGAUGCAGCGACGCCGCGUGAGUGAGGAAGUAUUUCGGUAUGUAAAGCUCUAUCAGCAGGGAAGAAAAUGACGGUACCUGACUAAGAAGCCCCGGCUAACUACGUGCCAGCAGCCGCGGUAAUACGUAGGGGGCAAGCGUUAUCCGGAUUUACUGGGUGUAAAGGGAGCGUAGACGGAAUUGCAAGUCUGAUGUGAAAAUCCGGGGCCCAACCCCGGAACUGCAUUGGAAACUGUAUUUCUAGAGUGUCGGAGAGGCAAGUGGAAUUCCUGGUGUAGCGGUGAAAUGCGUAGAUAUCAGGAGGAACACCAGUGGCGAAGGCGGCUUGCUGGACGAUGACUGACGUUGAGGCUCGAAAGCGUGGGGAGCAAACAGGAUUAGAUACCCUGGUAGUCCACGCCGUAAACGAUGACUACUAGGUGUCGGGAGGCAAAGCCUUUCG